UGCAGUCGAACGGCAGCACGAGAGAGCUUGCUCUCUUGGUGGCGAGUGGCGGACGGGUGAGGAAUACAUCGGAAUCUACCUUUUGGUGGGGGAUAACGUAGGGAAACUUACGCUAAUACCGCAUGCGCCCUUCGGGGGAAAGCCGGGGACCUUCGGGCCUGGCGCUGAUAGAUGAGCCGAUGUCGGAUUAGCUAGUUGGUGAGGUAAUGGCUCACCAAGGCGACGAUCCGUAGCUGGUCUGAGAGGAUGAUCAGCCACACUGGAACUGAGACACGGUCCAGACUCCUACGGGAGGCAGCAGUGGGGAAUAUUGGACAAUGGGCGCAAGCCUGAUCCAGCCAUACCGCGUGGGUGAAGAAGGCCUUCGGGUUGUAAAGCCCUUUUGUUGGGAAAGAAAAGCGAUCGGUUAAUACCCGGUUGUUCUGACGGUACCCAAAGAAUAAGCACCGGCUAACUUCGUGCCAGCAGCCGCGGUAAUACGAAGGGUGCAAGCGUUACUCGGAAUUACUGGGCGUAAAGCGUGCGUAGGUGGUGGUUUAAGUCCGUUGUGAAAGCCCUGGGCUCAACCUGGGAAUUGCAGUGGAUACUGGGUCACUAGAGUGUGGUAGAGGAUAGUGGAAUUUCCGGUGUAGCAG
rnacentral:rRNA from 1 species